rnacentral:misc_RNA from 1 species
GCAAACUUGGUCAUUUAGAGGAAGUAAAAGUCGUAACAAGGUAACCGUAGGUGAACCUGCGGUUGGAUCAUUAAAAAUUUAAUUUAGUCUCUGGGGUUUUUUAAGACCCCAUGAUGGCUAUUAACACCUGUGCACUUUAAUGUAUCUUGGGUUUGUGUUGUUAUGGUCCAUAUAGUUGGUGCUAUACAAUGCUUACCCAAAACUUUUGAUAAACCCCUAUUGAUUAUGUCUGAAAAUUUAUAUUAAAUAUAAACAACUUUUGACAACGGAUCUCUAGGCUCUCGCAUCGAUGAAGAACGCAGC